GUCCGCGCACCUUCCGCAUUACGUACUUUUUGUCAUCAGGAGGGCUCGCGCUGUUGUAUCAUCGCGCGGUCUCAAAAAAUUGCCUGCACGAGAACGGUGCGCGACGUACAACAGCUGAUGCAACUACGGCGCUAGGUCCUGUGGUGCAUCUCAAACGCGCCUCCUCUAUUAUAUUUCGGUGGAACAUACCAACACAAACUGGGGGGGGGAUCACAUGACCAUCAGAGGCUUCACACAGUUCACAAACGCGACCGGCGGCGUCAGAACACGACUGGAAUACCGGACGCGACAGAGGACACCUGGCGUCAACGCAGCCUGUAGGUCUUUCUAAGCUUUCGGAUUUAUUUCACGAUGUAGACUUUAGAAGUCUUUUUUUUUUCUCAAGUUUUCUUGUCUUUUUUUUUAAGCAUUCACCCCCUGGAAGUUUUGUUGGGAGCGCAUAGAGCCGAGCCUCAUCUGACUAAUGCAAACAGGCGCUUCCUCUGUUACUGUGAUGCUGAAUCGCCCAACAUCACUUCCUUGCUGCAGCGGUGAAAAAGUCGUGUGGAGGAAGACCUUCCCCAUAAAAGCAACUGUUGCUGAAUGCCAAAAGGAGAAAUGCAUCAUAAUAGAAACUUUUCGAGAAAGAUUUGCAAUCACGCGUGACGACAACUACUCUCUAUUUCUUAAGUCAGCAAAAUACAAUGACCUGGGGCAAUACGAGUGUAGCUGUGAUGGCUUAAUCAAGCAAGUUAUCCUGGAUGUUGUAGGUGAGUGUUUGUUUGCCUCACAUUAG
rnacentral:lncRNA from 1 species